UACGUAGGAGGCGAGCGUUGUCCGGAAUUACUGGGCGUAAAGAGCGCGUAGGCGGCUACUGUACGACCGCUGUGAAAGCCCCCGGCUCAACUGGGGAGGGUCAGUGGUAACGGCAGAGCUUGAGUGCAGGAGGAGGGAAGUGGAACUCCGGGAGUAGCGGUGAAAUGCGUAGAGAUCCGGAGGAACACCAGUGGCGCAGGCGGCUCUCCUGGGAACGGUACUGACGCUGAGACGCGAAAGCGUGGGGAGCGAACAGG
rnacentral:rRNA from 1 species